rnacentral:snRNA from 1 species
AUAUGCUCUUGGAUACUGGCCUGUUGUGGCUAAGAUCAAGCAUAUUAUCUGUUCUUAUCAGUUUAAUAUCUGAUAUGUUAUCCAUUUGACACCUGUCAGGUGGUGGUUUUUGCUGCGGAAUCUCAU